AUGCGUAGUACCUUAAUCUAACUGCGUCACAAGAACGUUACUCGUCGUUUAGGAUACCGAUGUUAUACUACAGUUAAUUAGAGGAAUUACCUCUCGCUAGCCUGAUGUACGUUUGUACAAGUUAAGCUUUAUUUAUAAACAGAAACAAGAUGACUCACUUAAAAUAUUGGCUUCCUAGCUGGAAUCAGAAAGAGAACGAUGUUUUGGAUAGUCGCCAUUAGAGAUUUCUCGAGAUCAAGGCUAAUACUUCGUUGAGAUUUUCGUGAUUGGAUUCGUGAGUGAAUUUUUUAAAACUUUUAAGUGAAUUAUUAAGUAACUGUGAUUAUGAGUGUGUACCAAAUAGUAUUAUCUUAUUGUAAAAGUGUUGUGAAUUAUUAUUCAAUAAAAACUCGGGAGACAACAGGAGACAAGAAAAGAAGACAAGUUACGUCACUGCUGCACGGCUAAAAGAGUCCAAGUGGAAAAAAAACGCAGCAGUGUUUGAACUCGCCCGUAGAAAUGUGACUCGCGUAUUCUCGACGCGAGAAACGUCGGCUAUAUUUUACGGUUCGCCACUGAGCGUGGGGCACCGAGGAUUUGAAAUAUAGCGACGAUCCUCACCGCAGCCCCACGAGAACAUCCGCCAAUUUCUGGCUCAUUUGUCCUGUCUUCGUUUCCUGCAAGACCCUGCUUCGUUUUUAAGGUGAGGAGCAUUGUCCAUGAGAUGGUAGAAGAGGUUUGAAGGAAAUGAUCUGCGCUCCGAGAUAAUUCCAUGAUCAACGUAUUUAAACGAUUUUAAUCAGUUAAUGACUGGACAGUGGACGAUAUAUCCAUCUUGGUUCAAUGAAACGAAGACGACUCGGCCUUUCAUUGGACGAUAUCCUCACUCGUCAUCUCACUUCGCUUGUCGUACUAAUGAAAGAGCAGAAUCUGAAUGGAAUAAUAGAUAUCUAUGAUUAUUCACAAUAAUGAUAAAAGUGAUUCCAAUAUUAUUCAAAUUUGUAUUGGAAAGUUUUCGAGCAACAGAAUCUUUCUUCUUUGGAAAAUUAUGAUAAAGUUGAAAGAAAAUACUGGCUGAAAUAUAUAUAUAUAUAUAUAAGAAAAGAUUGAUUCUCUCUGGAUUAGAAUAAAGUUAUUCAAAUAAGUCGAUCGGCACGAAGUUUAUAUGUUGGACUGUCGACAAGGAAAUCGACACGAAAUAACACGAGUUGGUUGUAACCUCAAUCGCUUCGAGCAUUCUUUAAUCCCCCGCUGGAAAAAAGGAGGAUUAAAAAAAUAUAGAAUUUAAAUAAGCAUCUUCAAGAAUCACUGACCCGUACCUUAAAUCCGUUUAACAAGGGGAGUACUGAUUUACCUGGAGGAUUUCUCAGGGAUAUUGCAACCCCUUCCAUUGUCUUGUGGAUGGAGCGUCUCUUGGUGGUGUAACUAGUUUUUGUCACAGGUAGACGAAAAUGGAGGAAACACGAAAAGAAACGAUAUAUCGUGAACGAAUAUAUUUUUAUUUCCAAAAAUUUCGAUCCUGAAAGUGUUAAAUACUAUUGUUACGGGACAGCCACGUGAAAUUAAUAAAUCAAUUUGUAUAAAUGAUUACAAAUUGUUGUAACUAUUAUAAAGAUUGUAAAAAUAUAUUACGAAAGAACGAGUAUCAAAUGCAACAAUAUGAAGAAUUAUAACAAAAGUAAUACACUAAGUCAGGCUGUUUGGAUUAUUCUCCCAAGGAGGGAGUGACACUUCGUCGAUAUGAUGAACGGAAGUGUAGAGAUGGUCUCCUGCUCGAAGUAUUUUCGUUAUGAAACGAGAAACUGUCUCUAAAUUUUUGGAAUUAAAAAUUGAAGAUCGCAGAAGGAUGGAGAAAAGAAGAUGCGUAAUGAGUAAGAUUGAUUGAAUUACAAGUAGAAUCUGCGUUACAAAAUAAAAAGGAAAGAAAUGUGUUAAUUGAAUAAUUGAUCGAUGAACCGAUUCAAUUUGGCGAGGAGGGAUGUUAAACGGUGUUGGAAGAAUUCCGGGAUGAAAGAAAGCAUCGAAACGCCGUCAGUUUCCGGGGCGAGGAAAUUGAAAUCCAUAUAAAGUUCUUAAUUAGAGUCCCGGAUGGGGAUGUACACGGACCAACUUGUAACGCCGCGCACUCGAACAGGUCGAAGUUUCAAUUUCAGCUGGGGGAGAAGUCGACGUCGUCGCCUCGUUAAGGGCAACAGUUUCCAACUCAUCCUGGUGCACGGUGUGUACCGAGCGCGAUUGGCAAACGUUUUCGCUUCAAAAGUCGGGGCCAGGACGAUACGGAUUGCCAUUGGAGAACAAAUACGUGCCUGGGCGCUUCGAGGGACAACUGGGAUUGGAUCGAAUAUCUUGGAUGAUAAUGAUUUAUAAUGCGUGUGACGUAAUUUUUGUUUGUAUUAAAAGUUUUUUUUUUUAAAGCAUUGUGAAAAUAGGGAUUUGUGUAUUUAUGAUGCGAAAGGAAAGAAUGUUUAACCAAGGAACAAUGUUGAACAAUGUUGCAUUGAGUGGAAGAAUAAAAAAUAAAGUUAUUAAAAUCGUGUGUGGAUACGAAAUUUGUAUCGUCGAAUUAUCGUGUUUAAGCAUUUAAUUGGAAAAAAUGAAAUGAUAUCAAAGAAGAAUGAUAUCAAAAUCAAGAAACAAUUCGAGUCACUUUUGAAAAAUCGGCAGAGAGUAAUUCGAGUAAUUGGCAGGAAACUACGAAGUAUAGUUUUAAUCAACUGUUCUAUUAAUUCGUAAUAUCAAUUUUGGAGUCGCAUCGAAAAAUCUAAUUCCGUUAAAACUCGUUGCAAACAACUCGUCCUACGUUUCGCAUGGUGCAAUCUGUUUGGUUACGUCUGGCCAAUUUAAAUGCGCUUCAAAAACACAGGUCGAGCCUGAAAUUCACUUGAAAAAUAAGAGAAACCGUUAAAGGGAAUUUCCAAUUUUAAUCUUUAGUCGGUGAUUCACGAAUAAAACGGAUUAUUAAAAGCUUAAGAUUAAAUGCGUUAUACAAUAAUUUUAAGUAACGAACGAAAAUUAAUACAUUAAUUAUACAUUUCUUUAAAAUUGGAUCGUUUCCAUUUAUCGUACAAGUACGAUACUUUCAAUUUCAAUAAAAAAAAAAGAAAAAAACUUUGAAAAUCUCUUCUUUGCAUCCAUCCGCAAAAAAAAUAAAACCAAAAAAAAAAAAAAAAGCAAAAAGCGUGCGGAUACACGUGCGACACACGUGGAAAUUCGACGGAACCGCACAGGAAACCAGAAUGCGCCCCUGCCAAGAUAUAAGCUUUAAUUCCCCCGCUAUAUCCAGUGGUGUUUUCCGUUUUACGGUGUUGGCGAGGCGCGCGCGGAAAAUCGAUACGCGCACGCCACUCCCUGGCAAAAUAACCGAGUUGGAAUUUCUAUCCGCGAACGACAUCGUGUUUAUGCAGAUGCGGCCACCCGGAAGCGUGGCACACGGGGCAAUAACGUGUAAUCGACCACUUGCCGUGCCUCUCCACUUUCUUACCGACCGAGCUUCGACGUAUCGACCCCUCUUCCACCAUCCUCCCCCCCCUCCAUUUACCCAACUUUCUCCUGGCUCGAUAGCCGACGCUGAAUCGCGGAUUAUUUACGGUGCAAUGGAACGUCGAAGAGGAUCUAUGACGCGUGGAUCUAUACACAUAUGAUUAAAAUUGACGAGAGAGAGAGAGAGAGAGAGAGAGAGAAUAAUUGAAAUGAUGUGAACAGUUGUUACAUUGUAAUUUUUAUAAUUUCAGAUUCGAGCGUGUGGCAAGAUUCUCUUCUCGAGAAAGCAGAGGAAGAAAUCUUAUCAUUAUAUAUAUAUAUAUAUAUAUGAAGGAAAAAUGGUUACGAAUUCCAUUUGUAUCUAAACGAUUAAUAAAAUGGGAAUUUAUAUAUAAACUUUUCUUUCGUUUAGAAUUCGAUGUUAAAAUAUAUUUUAUCCGAUAAAUGGUUCACGUUUUCGCGUUUCG